rnacentral:rRNA from 1 species
CGUAGGGGGCUAGCGUUGUCCGGAAUCAUUGGGCGUAAAGCGCGUGUAGGCGGCCUGGUAAGCCCGUUCUGAAAGCCCGGGGCUCAACCCCGGGAGGCGGAUGGAUACUGUCAGGCUCGAGUCCGGAAGAGGCGAGUGGAAUUCCCGGUGUAGCGGUGAAAUGCGCAGAUAUCGGGAGGAACACCAAUGGCGAAGGCAGCUCGCUGGGACGGUACUGACGCUGAGACGCGAAAGCGUGGGGAGCAAACAGGAUUAGAUACCCUGGUAGUCCACGCCGUAAACGAUGGACACUAGGUGUGGGAGGUGUCGACUCCUUCCGUGCCGAAGCUAACGCAUUAAGUGUCCCGCCUGGGGAGUACGGCCGCAAGGCUA